rnacentral:rRNA from 1 species
AGGAUCAGCCCGCGUAAGAUUAGAUAGUUGGUGGGGUAAUGGCCUACCAAGUCUACGAUCUUUAGCUGGUUUUAGAGGAUGAUCAGCAACACUGGGACUGAGACACGGCCCAGACUCCUACGGGAGGCAGCAGUGGGGAAUCUUGGACAAUGGGCGCAAGCCUGAUCCAGCCAUGCCGCGUGUGUGAUGAAGGCCUUAGGGUCGUAAAGC